AGUGAACGCUGGCGGUAGGCCUAACACAUGCAAGUCGAACGGCAGCACAGUAAGAGCUUGCUCUUACGGGUGGCGAGUGGCGGACGGGUGAGGAAUACAUCGGAAUCUACUUUUUCGUGGGGGAUAACGUAGGGAAACUUACGCUAAUACCGCAUACGACCUACGGGUGAAAGCAGGGGAUCUUCGGACCUUGCGCGAUUGAAUGAGCCGAUGUCGGAUUAGCUAGUUGGCGGGGUAAAGGCCCACCAAGGCGACGAUCCGUAGCUGGUCUGAGAGGAUGAUCAGCCACACUGGAACUGAGACACGGUACAGACUCCUACGGGAGGCAGCAGUGGGGAAUAUUGGACGAUGGGCGCAAGCCUGAUCCAGCCAUACCGCGUGGGUGCAGAAGGCCUUCGGGUUGUAAAGCCCUUUUGUUGGGAAAGAAAAGCAGCAGGUUAAUCCCCCGCUGUUCUGACGGUACCCAAAGAAUAAGCACCGGCUAACUUCGUG
rnacentral:rRNA from 1 species